UGGCAACCAAGUUAAUAAAUCAAGGACACUUCAUUCUUUAUAUUAAUACACAAUCCCUACAAUCAGAUAAGAAGUUUGGCACCUUAACAACGAGAAUUCUCAGAAAAACUACAAAAUUUCAACUCUUUCUCUCUUCAUAAUAUUCUACUAUUUUAGGUUGUUAUUUAGAGUAAUGGAUACUGAAUUCUACACGGAUGAAACUAUUACCUCCCAACAGAUUGAGAACCUAAAGCUUUGAUCUUUUUCUACCAUGAAAGUUAGUAGGCUUCUUCAAGGUUGCUUCCUUUCUCACGUUGAUUGAAUGCACUGUUGGAGCUGGUAUUUAACAUGGUCUUGGUAAUGCACAUAGUCAAGUGAUGAAAUAGUUUCUUUGAAACAUGAAACUAGUUUAUUGAAAUAGGAAGCUGCACAUUGUCGAGUUUGGAAUAACGUGUUAGAAAUUGCCAAAACCACCUAUCUAUAUGUAGGUUGUGACUGAUCAAGGGAAUCAUCUCAGGUAUGUUAAGGUUAUCCUUUCUUUCUUUUCGACAUAAUCCAAAGUAUAUGGAAGAAAUGAGCAAAUGCACAGUUUUCAUAAAACGACUCUAUUCAUAGAAAUACUAGUGGUGUCUAUAUUCUUGAUUCCCCAUGUGAAUUAUUAUUAUAUCUUCAAUUCAUGGAUCUCAGAAAAAUACGUAAGUUGAAAAAGUUUACUUCAUGAUAUUAAUCAGAGGCAUAAUGAUCUUAUGACGUACCGAGAGAUUUUAUUAACGUAUUUCAUAUGCAUUUCAUGCAUUUAUACAUGCACAUUGACCCAUGACCAGACGGUGUUAUAUACGUGUAUAUAUGUAUAUGGGAUAUGGAAAAAGGUUACGGCAUUAUAUACGCACCACCACCUGAUCAGUUGGUAUACGAUGAUGAUUUUGCCCAUAGUGGCACCAGGUGGCAUUAUAUACGCGUAUAUAUGUAAAUAUAUGGAUAUGGAAAAUAUGGAAAAAAGUUUACGGCGUUAUAUAUGCACCACCACCUGAUCAGCUGGUAUACGUUGAUGAUUUACCCACAGUGGCCGAGAUGAUAUGAUGGGAUGCCCUCAGAGGCUUGAUGAUGUUAUGAGCACAUGUACCUAUGCACGACAUGACAUUCAUAUGUAUAUGCAUAACACUAUAAGUAUUUCAUGAUUUACAGAGUUAUCCAGACUUACAGGUUGAUUCUUAUAUGUCUUUAAAUAAAUAUUAACUUAUUGUUAUGUUUCAGUUUUACCUUACAUAUUCAGUACAUUAUUCGUACUGACGUCCUUUUCUUGUGGACGAUGCAUUCAUGCAUGCAGGUAUAGAUUAUCAGUUUGACGAGCCCUCAUAUUAAACAAGAUUGGCAUUCAACGAAUGAUCAGUAAGACUCCACCUCAUUCGGAGUACAACCACGUCUAUGAGUCAUCGUGCCAGAGUUUUGCUAUAGACUUAUGGGUAGGCCGGUACCCUAUCCCAUUUAAUGUCGAAUAAUCUUAGAGGCUUUAUAGACAGAGGUUCAUUUUUUACAGUAUGUCAGAGGCCUUGAAGGACCAUAUGUAUUCAUGUUUUAAGAAAUAUGGUUCAGUGAUACAAUGUUGUCUACUUACAGUUGUGCAUUAUGAGUUAUGGUCAUGUUAUCCCAUGAUAGUUACAAAAGGAAUAAAUGAGUUUCAGAGUGGUUCGUUGGGGCCAGUACGGCAUCGAGUGCCAACCACGCCUCCCAAGGUUGGGGGCGUGACACAGUAGCACCAAGCUAUCCUGAAUUCUUAUAUGUGUCAAUUUCAAUAUUUUUA
rnacentral:lncRNA from 1 species